rnacentral:rRNA from 1 species
AGUGAACGCUGGCGGCAUGCCUAACACAUGCAAGUCGAACGGUAACAGGCCCGCAAGGGUGCUGACGAGUGGCGGACGGGUGAGGAAUACAUCGGAAUUUGCCCAGUCGUGGGGGAUAACGUAGGGAAACUUACGCUAAUACCGCAUACGACCUAACGGUGAAAGCGGGGGAUCGCAAGACCUCGCGCGGAUGGAUAAGCCGAUGUCGGAUUAGCUAGUUGGCGGGGUAAAGCCCACCAAGGCGACGAUCCGUAGCUGGUCUGAGAGGAUGAUCAGCCACACUGGGACUGAGACACGGCCCAGACUCCUACGGGAGGCAGCAGUGGGGAAUAUUGGACAAUGGGGGCAACCCUGAUCCAGCAAUGCCGCGUGUGUGAA